rnacentral:rRNA from 1 species
UACAGAGGUCUCAAGCGUUGUUCGGAUUCAUUGGGCGUAAAGGGUGCGUAGGCGGCGCGGUAAGUCGGAUGUGAAAUCUCGGAGCUUAACUCCGAAACUGCAUUCGAUACUGCCGUGCUUGAGGACUGGAGAGGAGACUGGAAUUUACGGUGUAGCGGUGAAAUGCGUAGAUAUCGUAAGGAAGACCAGUGGCGAAGGCGGGUCUCUGGGCCUUACCUGACGCUGAGGAGCGAAAGCGUGGGGAGCGAACAGG